UAGGGAAUCUUCGGCAAUGGGGGCAACCCUGACCGAGCAACGCCGCGUGAGUGAAGAAGGUUUUCGGAUCGUAAAGCUCUGUUGUAAGUCAAGAACGGGUGUGAGAGUGGAAAGUUCACACUGUGACGGUAGCUUACCAGAAAGGGACGGCUAACUACGUGCCAGCAGCCGCGGUAAUACGUAGGUCCCGAGCGUUGUCCGGAUUUAUUGGGCGUAAAGCGAGCGCAGGCGGUUUGAUAAGUC
rnacentral:rRNA from 1 species